rnacentral:rRNA from 1 species
AUGGCCCGGAUCGGCGUUGCAGUGCUCGCCCUCCUGGUGGCCGCCGCGGCGGUCGCCUGCCUGCCGGCCCCGGCCUCCGCCGGCGAGCAGGACUCCAUACUGCUGUCGCGCGCGGCGACCUGCGACGGGGCCGUCGGGGAGUGCGGCGUGGACGAGGACGAGGAGAUGGGGACGGGCGCCUACGGCACAGGCGAGGCCCUGCGCCGGUCGCUGGCGCGGAAGCCGACGGCCAGGUACAUCAGCUACGCGGCGCUGCGCGCCGACCAGGUCCCCUGCAACAAGCGCGACAAGUCCUACUACACCAACUGCGGCUCGAUGCAGCAGGCCAACCCCUACACGCGCGGCUGCUCCGCCAUCACGCGCUGCGCGCGCAACAUGAACUGA